UACGUAGGGACCGAGCGUUGUCCGGAUUCAUUGGGCGUAAAGCGCGCGUAGGCGGCCAGUCAAGUCGGAUGCGAAACCUCGAGGCUUAACCUCGAGCCUGCAUUCGAUACUGGGCGGCUAGAGUCUGGUAGGGGGAUCUGGAAUUCCUGGUGUAGCGGUGGAAUGCGCAGAUAUCAGGAGGAACACCGGUGGCGAAGGCGGGAUCCUGGGCCAGUACUGACGCUGAGGAGCGAAAGCCAGGGGAGCAAACGGG
rnacentral:rRNA from 1 species